GGAUGUCAGGGCAAGCUGGCUUUGACAUCUGUCAGCCCUUUGAUCACCAGGGUUGAUUAGGCUGAUCUGGCUGGCUAUGUGGGCGUUCCCUUCCUCCCUCAACACUUCAUGUGCAUCCCUCCCGAAGCUGCAAGCUCGGUGGAAGAGGUUGACCACCCUGGUAGAGGAGGACCAUUUCUCAGUCAAGGGUAGAUGAGUAGAUGAGCUCCCCUGCUAGAACCUCCAAACAAGCUCUCAAGAAAAUAGGGUUAUUAUUGUCCACAUUUUCCCAUUGCUAUAGUUUCAAUGUUU
rnacentral:snRNA from 1 species